AGGCAGCAGUGGGGAAUAUUGCACAAUGGGGGAAACCCUGAUGCAGCCAUGCCGCGUGUGUGAAGAAGGCCUUCGGGUUGUAAAGCACUUUCAGUAGGGAGGAAGGUAGUGUAGUUAACACCUGCAUUAUUUGACGUUACCUACAGAAGAAGCACCGGCUAACUCCGUGCCAGCAGCCGCGGUAAUACGGAGGGUGCGAGCGUUAAUCGGAAUUACUGGGCGUAAAGCGCAUGCAGGCGGCCUGUUAAGUCAGAUGUGAAAGCCCGGGGCUUAACCUCGGAAUUGCAUUUGAAACUGGCAGGCUAGAGUCUUGUAGAGGGGGGUAGGAAUUUCAGGUGUAGCGGUGAAAUGCGUAGAGAUCUGAAGGAAUACCAGUGGCGAAGGCGGCCCCCUGGACAAAGACUGACGCUCAGAUGCGAAAGCGUGGGGAGCAAACAGGAUUAGAUACCCCUGGUAG
rnacentral:rRNA from 1 species